ensembl:lncRNA
GCCUGCUGAAAUCCUCGCUGGUCAUGUGUCGCGCUGCUCUUGGCUCCGGACAGUGCAUUCAAGCUGUUGACAACAGUCAUCGAAUGUAGCGGCUCUGAGGACUAGGAAGUCUCCACCGUUUUACUUAAUCGGUUAACGGGGAAAAGCCUAUAUUAGAAACAUACAUGAAAUAGUUUGUUUAACCUCUCCAACCGGAACAAUGAUUUCCCCGUGGGACCGCUGCUGCAUCUGCUGUCAUGUCCGGACGGGCACCAUCAACUUCGAGCGAUUGGACGCCUUCGAUCGAUUAGGUUCUACUGCUGCCCUAUGAAGAGGUUGUUGCCAUCCGUCCCAAGGAGGCCUCAGUGUGUGGAAGCAUGAGGAGAGGGAGAGAGACUCUGCCCUGGACCUCCUCCCUCCUUCCCCUCAUCCCCUCCUCCCACAUCCCUCUCCCCUCCUCCUAAAUCCCUCCCUCUCUCUCCUCCUCUCCUCCCUUCCUCUGAUCCCUCCCUCUCUCUCCUCCCUACCCCCUCCCUCUCCUCUCUUCCUCCUCCCUCUCCUCUCUCUCUCUAUCCUCCUCCCUUCCUCCUCCCUCCCUCUCUCUCCUCCUCCCUCUGAUCCCUCCCUCUCUCUACUCCCUUCCCCCUACCUCCUCUCUUCCUCCUCCCUCUCCUCUCUCUCUCUAUCCCUCCCUCCCUCUCCUCCUCUCUCCCCUCCCUCCGAUCCCUCCCUCUCUCUACUCCCUUCCCCCUACCUCCUCUCUUCCUCCUCCCUCUCCUCUCUCUCUCUAUCCUCCUCCCUCCCUCCCUCUCCUCCCUUCCUCUGAUCCCUCCCUCCCUCUCUCCUCCCUACCCCCUCCCUCUCCUCUCUUCCUCCUCCCUCUCCUCUAUCCUCCUCCCUUCCUCCUCCCUCCCUCUCUCUCCUCCUCCCUCUGAUCCCUCCCUCUCUCUACUCCCUUCCCCCUACCUCCUCUCUUCCUCCUCCCUCUCCUCUCUCUCUCUAUCCUCCUCCCUCCCUCCCUCCCUCUCCUCCUCUCUCCCCUCCCUCCGAUCCCUCCCUCUCUCUACUCCUUCCCCCUACCUCCUCUCUUCCUCCUCCCUCUCCUCUCUCUCUCUAUCCUCCUCCCUCCCUCCCUCUCCUCUCUCUCUCUAUCCUCCUCCCUCCCUCCCUCUCCCCUCCCUCCCUCUCCUUCUUUCUCCAUUUCUCUCCUCCUCCCUCCCUCUCCUUCUCCCUCUCUCUCAUCCCUCUCCUUCCUCCUCUCUCCUUCCUUCCUCUCCUCUCCCUCCCCCCUCCCUCCCUCUCCUCCUCCCUCCCUCCCCUUCUUUCUCCCUUUCUCUCCUCCUCCCUCCCUUUCUCCCUUCCUCCUUCGCCCUCUCCUCCUUUCUCCCUUCCUCAUCCUCCUCCCUCCCUUCCUCUCCUCCUCCCUCUUCCCUCCCUCUCUCCCCUCCUUCCUCCCCCAUCUCCUCCUUUCCCUCCCUCCCUUCCUUCUCCCUCCUCCCUCUCUCUCCCCUCUCCCUCUCCCCCUCCCUCUCCCCCUCCUCUCCCCUUCCUCCUCCGUUCCUCCCUCCCCUUACUCCUCUCUCUCUCUCUCUCCUCCCUUCCUCCUCCCUCAUCUCUCUCCUCCCUCCCUCCUCCCCCCCUCCCUCUCCUCCCUCCCCUUCCUCCUCCGUUCCUCCCUCCCUCUCCUCCUGUCUGUAAAAUACUAUUCUGUUCCAUCUGGCCCUAAACCUUUCCAUUAUUCUGUUGGUCUCAAAGACUUGUAAUGUUCUGAAGUACUUGUCUUGGUUGGUAUGUAUUGUGUUGUAGUUUCAAACUGAAAUGUAAAGUUCAUUUCCGAUGGAGCCAACAUAUGCAGUGUUUGCCCUGAAGGUAGUCUCCACCAGCGCAGAAACAUUGCCUUUAAAUUUCAAUCACGCUGUAACGCUGAACUAGAACCCUGAGUUAUACGUUUAAACCAUGUGUUUUUUUUUACAUGACGGUGUGAUCUCAUCUUUGUAGCUGAGCUAACCCGAGCUAGCUAGACUGAGGACGAUUCUUAAUAGGGAGAUGUUUAUCUAACAGGGUUGGGCUCAACCCAGGCAGUCAAUUCAGGAAGUAAACUGACCGCCAUCUAUUUGUAUUGAUUUCACAAUCAACUUAAAAGUAAAAGCAAUACAUUUUUUUAAAGGUAUUGCAUUUUUUAAUUGACCCCAACCCUGUUAUCUCAGCAUGAUAUGCGGCUAUAUACUAAUAAAACCCUGUGAUAUUAUGAUUUUAUUUGUUUUGCACAUGCAGUAAUAUAAUAUUUUAACAUUUUUAAAUGCUACUUUUCCUGUGAUAGUCACAAUGGAGAAGUUACCCUUGAUAGAUGUUAAGGGAAUUUUUAUCAAUGAUGACUAAUUAUGUAUACAUUUCAAUCAGGACUGACUAGUCCAAAUGCUAUUAUGUACUGUACAUAUAUUACUUUUCUCUCUUGCUCCCAUUCCCAAUUGUAUAUAAUAUAGUCAGGAGUUUAGAACAGUGCCUUGGUACAAAUGAAUGAACUAUCUCUAGACUGUCUAGAAUGCUAUCUACACUGAUGAAUUGACCUUGGCUACAGGCGAGGAGGGAAGGCUCGAGAACUAUAGGGCCUCUCUACCGGUGUCAUGAAAGAGAUAGAUCAUUUAGAAAACGCUGACGUCAUUUUCAGUUUAUAACCUGUGGAAAAAUGUGUAUGAAGCAGUACUCUCUUGAAUUAAACGCUGUUACCUGACUUUUAA